GUCUUGGUAAUUUAAAGUAGAAUGUAACUCUGAAGAGGUUAGUGUGGUUUAUCCCCAGGACA
rnacentral:tRNA from 2 species